CUCUCAUUCAAACUUUCAUUCAUUGACCAACAACCUCCCCUCCCUUUUCCUUCCUCUAACCAUGACUUCUUCUCGAUCAGAUCAUCCCUUCGUUCGUCAAAUUUCUUUUCUAAUUUUGAUUAGAUCUUCGAAAAUUUAUUGAAUUGAUUCUUCAUCGGUUUGCGAUGAACGUCUUUUUUUGGUCGGAUGCGAUGAACGUCUUUGUUGGGAGAUUUGAUUCUGCAGUUUUUGAUUGAUUUUGGAGAAUUGGUGGAGCAUUUGUCGGAGGAGCCUUGAAUUUCUCACACUUCGAUCGAUUGGAGAAUUUCGAAUUCGUGUGGAUGAGUAGUCUGGUCCUGAAUGAUGGUUGGAUGAUUAUUGUGGAUCAGUAAGCUGUUUGGGUAAUUUUUGAAGAUGUUGGAUGAUUAUUGUGGAUCAACUCUACCAAGUAUCUGGUGGGUUCAUAUGAACGUUUUAAAAUAUGUAGCAGUAUGUGUUUUCUCUUUUGUAAUUUCUGGAAGAGAAAUCGGUAGUUGUCAGUCGACCUUUGCCAUGACGGGUGCGCUUGCAUGGCAGGUCAUCAAAGUUAAUAAAAAGUUCUCUUUUGUUGGUUUUGUUGGGAGAUGGUACGGGGGUUUUUGCCCGGCUCUCUCAACCCUGGUCCGUGUGUGGUUUUUUUUGUUCCCUUGGUUCAUUUCCCGUACCCUGCACCCUUCAGGCUCCGUUUGGUUUGGCGUAAAACAUUUUGAUUUUCAUGGAAAACAAUUUACAAUGGAAAACACAUUUCCACAAUUAGGUUUCCUACUGAAAAUGAAGCAAGUAGUGAGAAUAGUGUACCAUAGAGAUAAAUAGUUUUACACUCCUUUGCAAACCAAACGAUGUAAAAUGGAAAAUAGAGGAAAACUGUUUUCAUGUAAAAUGUUUUACGCCCUAUCAAACAGAGCCUAAGUGCUUCAAUCGUUACUAGUGCUAAUAUCAAGCAAAUCAACUUGCAAAUAGUUGACAAUGAAGCUGGCUGGGGAUCAGAUUUACCAAGGUACUUCAAUUAAGCUCCUCCUACCUACUCUCUUUUAAUACUCAGCACAAUUUAAAUUGCAAUUUUAUCUUCGUGUUCUGAUUAUCCUCGUUGCAUCCCUUUGAGCUGCCAAAAAUUUAUUUAGAAAUUGCAGCAGUGUUUAUCUUUGAAUCUAUCUAGGGCAAACCCUUCUACAAUAUUCUUUUGUUUUUCGAGGAUGCUGCUUGUUUAGAAAUCAAACUCUGUUGCAAAUGUUGAGCAUGUAAAAUAUCUCUCUAUUAUAAUAGCCUGUUCAUACACAUUGAUCAGGUAAAACUUCAGUGAAUGAACAUACUCCAUGAACAUUUUCACACGUGGAAAUGUCCGCACAAAUCAAUAUCAUAUUGCAUAUAUCUCAAUGAAGAGAACAUUAAUGAUAAAAGCUGGUUACUGUGUAAGCAAUCUGAUUGAGUAAGCUCCACCUAGUAUAUAGCCGGUAUUGCACAAUGCAAGGUUCUCAAACCAGUGUAAACAGCUUCCCUGUUCUUCUUGGUGCUCAGCUUUGAAUGAAUCAGUAUAUUAUCUAAGAGAACAAAUUUCUUCAGAACAUAUUUUGUUCGCAUUUGAGUUUUUUGCAUGUUUUAUCAAUUAUCAACCUCUCCUGCCUCAGUAACAGGGGUGUUGUGUUUGUUUUUAGAUAGUUGUAAUAGAAAUUGUACCAUUCAGUUUGUACUCUGUUCUUUUUUAGAGUUAUACAGGAUUUUUACACUAAGUUUCUAUUAGUUAGACUUUUGAAGAUCUGUUUGAUGUUUAUUUGAGAGUUGCAAUGAUCUACCAUCCUAAGGUCAUGUAGUUACUCUUGGACUAGGUUGUUGAUCCGGGGAUCUCGUCUGUACAAAUUUACAGAAUCUGUUGUUUAUGACCUGGGAAAGUUUGCCAAAUGACGAAAUCAAGCAGCUCAUGUGUAACAGCAUUCUUUGGGGUGACUGCAUUCUUUACCCCCGAUUGUCCUUUAUUCUGAGACGCUUCACGGGUGGACAUACACCUUGUUUAUCCAUCCACUUCCAGGGUGGUGCAGAAGUUGGUGAAGUAUGUCCAGGUGUUGUGUUAAUGUUAUGACAGGAAGUAUUGGCGUUCUAUGAAGUGAUUGAACAUUUGAACGUUCACCUACCAUUAAAAUUCCGUGAUUUAUUGUUUUAAUUUAUGCAGUUCUAUGUUUCUAUUGGUUGUUGUGAUGAUUUCCGUACUGUUUUGAAUCUCAGAAUCUUAUUAUUCAGUAACAUAAUGCUUAUAUAUUAAUUUUCUUUUUUUCCUUUGUUUUUCUUGUUGCAUUUUUGCUUUGUUUCCUGAGAUAAAAAGAUGAUGGCAGGAGCUUAACUUCCAAGAUGGAUUAUGGUCUCAAUGUGUGUCCUACAUCCCUAAGGUCAUGUAGUUUUUAGCUCCGUGCAUUUUAGGUUAAGAAUGGUAGGAGAGGUUUAGGGCUUUUAACUUGCUAACAAUGGGCAUGUAAUGCUUGUUGGGUAAGAAAUGCUAAGUAAAUUUUCUGGUUAUAGGGGUAAGUUAUUAAAUGUUAAUAUGGAUCUGCUCCAGAAGUUGGUGCCAAUCAACAUUAAUUACUAUUUUUAUAUAGCGCGAGGUAAACCAUGAUCUAUAAGCUCUGAAAAGGAAGAGCACCCAAAACAUUUGGGAGGUUGGUGGUUCGAGUCCAUCUAGAUCAAUUCUUUCAGUUCAUAUUUAGACAAUUACUUUAAAUCUUCUCUAACUUUAAGUUUCCAUUUUAGUUUCUAUCACGUUUUUGUUGGAUUUUUUGUGUGACAGAAAGCUUGUUUGCCUCUCUACCAGCUAGGCCUUUAAUGUGAAAGGAGAUAUCAUAUGGAUCUUGGUAAUCUGGGGUUAGAAUAAUCUCAUGAUUUUUCUGUUGUUUAUCUUAUGAAAGUUACCUACAACUCUGGUUAGGAAACAGGUUCAUGCAACUAGUACUGAUGGAGAAGCUGUCUGAGUCUUUAAUUUCAGAGCUACAACAGUGUUCAUCCCAAAUUAUGUACAGGUAUGUUUGUAAAAUGCAGCAUAUAUGUCUUGUAGGAUCUCUUGGUAAAAAAUACUCCGUAUUAACCACCUAGCACCGAUAAUUUUUACCGACUUCCUUGACCUUUUUUCACUUUUUUUUAUGCCAUUUACUUCAAAGUUUUUCUGUUUACUUUCGCACGCAAUGCAUGCGUGCAAGUGGACGUAAUUCAUAAUAUUGACACAAUGAUAUGAACGCAGCGUACUUGUUGUCUUCAUUGACAACCUUUAG